UAAUACGAAGGGCCCGAGCGUUAUUCGGAAUCACUGGGCUUAAAGCGUACGUAGGCUGGUAUAUAGGCAUUUUGUGAAAUCCCUCGGCUCAACCGAGGAACUGCAGAGUGAACCAUAUAUCUUGAGACAGACAGAGGUCGUUGGAACGAUUGGUGGAGUGGUGAAAUGCGUUGAUAUCAAUCGGAACGCCAAUGGAGAAGUCAAGCGACUGGGUCUGUUCUGACGCUGAGGUACGAAAGCGUGGGUAGCGAACGGGAUUAGAUACCCCGGUAGUCCACGCCGUAAACGAUGUGCACUAGGUCGAGGGCGUUCUGACGCGACUCUCGGCCGAAGCGAAAGUGUUAAGUGCACCGCCUGGGGAGUACGGUCGCAAGGCUU
rnacentral:rRNA from 1 species